rnacentral:rRNA from 1 species
GUGCCAGCAGCCGCGGUAAUACCGGCGGCCCAAGUGAUAGCCGAUCUUAUUGGGCCUAAAGCGUCCGUAGCUGGCCACGCAAGUCCAUAGGGAAAUCCACCUGCCCAACAGGUGGGCGCCCGGUAGAAACUGCGUGGCUUGGGACCGGAAGGCGCGACGGGUACGUCCGGGGUAGGAGUGAAAUUCCGUAAUCCUGGACGGACCGCCGAUGGCGAAAGCACGCCGCGAGAACGGAUCCGACAGUGAGGGACGAAAGCCAAGGUCUCGAACCGGAUUAGAUACCCCCGUAGUCC